rnacentral:rRNA from 1 species
CGCCUUAUACUCCUACGGGAGGCAGCAGUGGGGAAUUUUGGACAAUGGGCGCAAGCCUGAUCCAGCAAUGCCGCGUGAGUGGAGAAGGCCUUCGGGUUGUAAAGCUCUUUUGUCAGGGAAGAAACGGCUGUGGCUAAUAUCCACGGCUAAUGACGGUACCUGAAGAAUAAGCACCGGCUAACUACGUGCCAGCAGCCGCGGUAAUACGUAGGGUGCAAGCGUUAAUCGGAAUUACUGGGCGUAAAGCGUGCGCAGGCGGUUUUGUAAGUCUGUCGUGAAAUCCCCGGGCUCAACCUGGGAAUUGCGAUGGAGACUGCAAGGCUAGAAUCUGGCAGAGGGGGGUAGAAUUCCACGUGUAGCAGUGAAAUGCGUAGAGAUGUGGAGGAACACCGAUGGCGAAGGCAGCCCCCUGGGUCAAGAUUGACGCUCAUGCACGAAAGCGUGGGGAGCAAACAGGAUUAGAUACCCUUGUAGUCCACGUACCA